GGGGCUGAUUUGGUUUCGACAUUUAAAAUUAAGUAAUAUAUGAAUCAGGUCGAAGCUUGUACUCUUCGUAAAAAUCUACAAACUAUAACAUAAAGGCUAAUAUUCUUAAAUCGUUUAUCUCAAACAUCGUAAAUCGUAAUGUGUAUUCAUUACAGUUUACAUAUUAAUUGACUUUCUAGCUAGUUUCAAUAAUUUAUUCGCUAAAUCUAGUAUUUUUGAUAAAUUUAGUUUAGAAUAACAUUACUCUUUUUUGUUCUUUGAAACUAUGCCUGUGAACGAGUAUAUUAAAUUAUUUUAGAUGGACAUGGGUUCAAUUCCCAUCAGUUCC
rnacentral:tmRNA from 1 species